AUCGCUUCUCAGACUUUUGGCUAAGAUCAAGUGUAGCAAGUGCAGGCAUCUGAGUUCAAUCCUUGGUACAAAAAAAAAAUUAUUAUUAUUGGGUUUUUUUUUUUUUUGUACUGGGUAUUGAACUCAGGACCUUGCACAUUUUUU
rnacentral:snRNA from 1 species